UGAUGCUGCAUGACCUUGGGGUGUGAUCUGAUCAGAUCUCAGAAAGCCAGCAGGGCUGGGCUCCGUUAGAACUUGACUAGGUGACUUCAAAGGAACACCAGGUGCAAUAUAAA
rnacentral:rRNA from 14 species